AGGCGGGAAUUGCACUCAGUCGUGAGAGUUUUGGCGGGAAUUGCGGAUAAUAGGUCGGUCAAGGAAUAAUCAUAUCCUGGACCUAUUAAUAGGUUGGUAUAAAUUACUAUUAUUUAUUUAGUGUUUUGAAUAAACAGAUAUUUAAUAGCGUUCAAUCUUAGCCGAACACGCUCAGUCAUGUGGGACUUUGUGCCACUAUUGUCGAGGAAACUCAUGCGUAUAUCAAAUGUGGCCAUUUCACAUGUAAAUAUAGUUGUAUGCGAGGUUGUAUGUCUGUAUAGAUAUAGCUCUUAUAGCAGAUAUACCACAUAGUGUUAAUCAUAAUUAGACGAAAAUAGAGUUAAUUCGUUUAUUUUGUGUUCGUGGGGAAGAGGGCGUAUUAAAUAAAGGUGUCUACAAAUUUGCGAGAAAUAUGAAAUGAAUACUGUAAUCGAAUUUACCUUUCAAAUAUCAAAGGUGGUGUUGUGAAUGUUGUGCAUAUAAAUUACAAUAAAUUUAAAUUUCUUAACUCAGUAUUGUUGUCGUACGAGGAAGUUUCUAAAAAUCGUUAUUGGAUUAUAGUAUUCAUUUCGCAUAUUUCUCGCAAAUUUAUA
rnacentral:lncRNA from 1 species